CAGCCGCCGCGGGAAUACGGAGGGUGCAAGCGUUAUCCGGAUUUAUUGGGUUUAAAGGGUCCGUAGGCGGACUUAUAAGUCAGUGGUGAAAGCCUGUCGCUUAACGAUAGAACUGCCAUUGAUACUGUAAGUCUUGAGUAUAUUUGAGGUAGCUGGAAUAAGUAGUGUAGCGGUGAAAUGCAUAGAUAUUACUUAGAACACCAAUUGCGAAGGCAGGUUACCAAGAUAUAACUGACGCUGAGGGACGAAAGCGUGGGUAGCGAACAGGAUUAGAGACCCCCGUAGUCCCUGUCUCUUAUAA
rnacentral:rRNA from 1 species